ensembl:lncRNA
CUUGUGCCACCACAAGAUCACUACCUACAUGGUUGUUAUAAACCAAAACGAGUGCUAAGAACAUCACUUGAAAUGAAGUUCUAGUAGCAUUGUCAUGAAGGUUUGGUAUCAUUUCCUAAACUGGUUCUCAGUGAAGGUGCUUCUGUGUCUGCCCCAGGUGUAAUGCAAUUGGGCUGAUAUCAGGACUGAUGCUUUCUUCUCUAUCCUCCCAUCAGUCAAGCUCUUCAUCACACAUACCCCCUUGAUUUUUUAACUGUGAGUGAGAAAGAAUGAAAAUGAAAUUGCUGCAAUAUCUGGACCACAUAAAACCCCAAUAAUCCUGUGUCUAUGUUCUUUAACUUCUGCCCUUAUUGGAGGCAUCCCUUGUCCAGUGUGAAGUGGAACUGAGAGUGACUGGGGGAAACAGACAGUGUGUUUAAGUAUUUGUAAAUCAUGAGCCUUGUGAGGUUUUGUAAUAAUCUUACUGCCUAUUUUGUGUUUUUGUGUAUUCGUCUAGCAACUGAUGAUAUCAAAAACAGAGAGAUCAGGAGGCUGAUAUUACACGCUAAGUCUGUUCUGUAAAAUCUCAGUAGCCUUUUGGUGCAUGGAACUUCGGCACACGCAAACUGUGACUGCAGCGACGUCCUCAACGUGAAGUUAACAGUUAAAGAUGGUAUCUGUAAGCACAGGGAGCCUCCAGACCCUGCCUGUAGGACGGACCUGUCUAUGGGCCUCCUCACUUGAUGCAAAGAUGGAGAUAGUGCAAACCACGGCAUGUUUAGCCCCACCUAUGAAUUGACACUUUAAUGUCACCUCGCUGAGGUAGAACAACAGCCAGUGUGGGUAAGGGCAGUGCAUUCAAAUGGGCGGAAAAACAAUUGGUAACAUUUCUACUUGGCCUGCCUAAUUCCAUAACAGUGCUGCUUCACUGAAAGGCAUACACGAAGCUCCAUCGCAAGAGGGACUGCUGGCAAAGCACACCACAGCCUUCUGACCUUGUUUAGCUCUAACUGGAUUAAACAUAUGGGAUCGCAGCACUCAUGGGAGAUGAGGGCUCUUCCACCAUCUCCUGGUCUGCCUGCUCGGUUUCCUUUUCCGUUCUGCUAUGCUUCAUUGAAGGCAGAAAUAACGUCCGUAUGCGGUAGCUCUGAUUCAGUGUUACUCUGGCAGGUUGUGUUUAAGCUGGGUUCCCUAGAUUACUGGAUCUGCGUUUGCCCAUGGCAGAUUUAUUUAAUCAGAACUGCAACCAUCGUUCAUUUUUGGAGUGCAGAGCCCUGGAAACCACGCUGGACUCCGUUUCGGCAAAUUUAAGCAUUUAUUCCCAUUUACCGCUGUCCAAAUUUCCUGAGAGAAAUAAAGCGGCGUUUGAAGUGGAGCACGCGGUUAGAACGACGCGCACCGCACACGUCUGCCAAGGGCAGCAGGACGGGAUCCCAACCCGGGCAGCCUCCGCUGCAGCGAGCAAAACCCGGGAGCAGCGGGACGGCCGCAGCGCUGCGCGGAGCACCGCCGGGAGAACCCACGGGAAGCGGCUGAAGCGAGGAGGGGUCGCAGCCCCACAGAGCCCGCGAGGCGCCCGGUGCCGAACGGCCG